GCUUUUAUGAUUUCCCACCACACUGUUAAUCAGAAAGGGUGGCUUCUGGUUCUGAUACGUCUGUUGUUUUUUUCAGAGGUGAACACUGGAAAAACAUGACUGAUUCUGUGCAACUUGGAAAAGGAAAAGUCAUCAGCAAGUCCCAUCCUUACCACACACAAAUACAUUACAGAGAGGGCCAAGCUGGAGGUGGUGUUGUUGACAGAAACAUUGUAAGCAGAGAAGGUGAAUCAAUCCAUGGAGUAUCCCUAUCACACUGGAUGAAGAUGGAUGAGCUGGGAAUCUGAGCGAGAAUAAGACUUUAAAGAAUGUUCUCAAUGUGAUUGAGGCCGAAGAGAAGCAGAUUUCUCACCCCCAUGAGGUAGGGUUCCUUUCUAAUCCCUCUACCACGCACUGUUCUUCAGACCCUAUCCCCCCAC
rnacentral:lncRNA from 12 species